CUAACUUCAUUUAUAUGGACCCAUACUCUAUUGGUACCUUCCACUUGUGCUCAACCUCUCUUUGGGAUCUAUUCAAAAUAUACUCAAAAUUUCUUCCAAAUGAUAGCCUAUAGUAGCCAGUCUCCAGAUGGCCCCUCAUGACCCCUGAAUUCUGCUAUCAAUGCUCUUGAGUAGUCUCCCUCCCUGAGUAAAGCUGAUCAUGUAUCCAAUAGAAUAUUUUGGCUACAACAGAAUGUGACUCCAAAGAAUGAAUCCCAAAAGUCUUUGUCGUUCCAGACUUCUCUUGGAUUAUACACUCUGGGGAAAAAUCAGCUGCCAUGUCGUGAGGACACUUGAGCAGCCUCAUGGAGAGAUGGACGUGAUGAAGAUCUGGGUCCUCCUGCCAAUGGCCACAUGAGUCAGCCAUGUUGGAAGUGGAUCUUUCACCGCCAGCCAAGCCUGCUGACGACUUCAGCAGCAGCCAACAUUUUGACUGAGAUUUCAUGAGAGACCCUGAGCCAGAAACACCCAACCACGCUGCUUCCAGAUUCCUGAUAGAAACUGCAGAAGGUGAUAAUCUCAGAAGACAGAUCAGCUACCUGAGUGACAGCAGUUUGAUAUUGAAACGAUAUCAUCAUCCCAAAGACAGUUUCCCUUUUCUCUCUGGUGUAAUGCUAAUCUGCCAGGACGGAAGACAAACAAGUCCUAAGAGAAAGAUGUGCUUAACUGGCUUUCUUGAUAGAAUCCUGUGUUGUUAUCAAGGAACCAUCUUUAAGAUGCCCCUAACUCUAUUGCAUUUCAGUGGAACUUGCCUUGCAUUUUGCUGGAACUCAGUUUUACAAGAACAUUGUCCCUGUGUAGGAAGAAUAAUAUGAACUCUGCACUCAGAACCCAAAUACCUGGAUUUGUUAUUCAAGUUCCACUCACCAGCCUUGCGAUUUUGAGCAUAACCUGGGACACCAGCCUUCUCACCAGUGCCUGGAUCUGAUCUUGUAGCAGGAACCUCAAUCUCAGAAUUUCCAGACCCAUCACUUCACACAUUUCCCUAGGGCUGCGGCUGUUCUUAGAAACUCAUCAAAGUCGGAAUCAUUUGGGCAUGAGAAUUCAUCCAUAAAGUGACAGUUCCAGUCCUCCUGGAUCCAAGAAAUUCACACAAAGUAGGAGAAACCAUGCUACAGGAUUGAGGAGAAUGGGACGAGGAGACACAGCGACCCGGGGAUGUACUGAGGAAGAUUGUUCUGGUGGUGAAGUGGACGAAGGAUGGGAGGAAACAGGGUAUUUUGCCAGAUGCUGGGCUCAUAUUGGUGAACAAAACAGUUUCAAUCAUGCCUCGUGGAAUUUACAAUCCAGGAGAGAUAACAGACCCUGAGCAAAUAAUGAGGAGUGAAGCGAGAGGAGCAGGCGGCUUUAAUGGCGUAUCACGAGAAGGACCUACUGAAAUGUGGAAGUUCAAGACAGAUUUCCCCGAGGAAGAGACUGCGAUCAAAGAGAUGAAUAAAACGCAGCUGGAUAAAGGGAGAAGACUGGUAAUGACACAUACAACAGCACUGAGAUAAGAGGAACGACAUUUAUUGGUUUUAACGGUUUUGGGGGGUUCAUUUUUCUUGAUAGAUAUCUCAGAACUCUCUAUAUUAAGGGCAUUCAUCUUUAAUGUCAUUUGUUAUAAACAUCAUUUGUCCUUUCCUUUAAGCUCUAAUCUAUG